AAACUGAUUUUAAAUCAGGUCGACCCAAACCAACCCGUUUACAUGACACGACUCAUCGACCAUCGUUCCUAAUCGAAUCAUAUUUUUCUUCACUGUUCAUAGCUCAUCGUUCCCAAUCGAACCCUAAUUUCACAGUUCACCAUCUAAAUCAUUUCUCUUCAGUCUCACUCUUCAUUUCUCCUCCUCCUCUCUCCUCUUCAGCUCAUGAACUCAGUUCACCAUCGAUUAAUAAUUCAAAUGUUUGUGUUGUGAAAGAGGGGUUCGGUUUUUCGAGUUAGGCUAGUGAAGAGGGGUUCGGUUUUGAAAAGCGACGGUCGGAGAUUGAGUUGAGGAAUAGAAGGAGGCAGUGAUUUUGUGAAGAAACGUUCCGUAGUCAGCUUCUGCCUUUGCACCAAUAGCAAAUCCUACAAAUUGUCCUUGGGGAGAGAAGGCAUUCACUUGCGAUAGUUAUAGUUCUGCAAAUAGAGGAGGGCUUCUCAGGCAGCCAAAGUGGGGUCAUCUGAAGGAUUUGCACAGAGCAAUAAAACUCUGUGAACCUGCUUUGGUAUCUGGAGAUCAAACGUUAAGCAAACACAAAAAACUAUGUUGAUGAAGGGCUAUAUAAACAAGGGGGGCUAUAUAAUCAA